GCAGACUACAGCUCUAUAUCCUAUCCUCUGGGGGUCUGAAUGGAGCAGACUACAGAUCUAUAUCCUAUCCUCUGGGGGUCUGAAUGGAGCAGAUUACAGAUCUAUAUCCUAUCCUCUGGGGGUCUGCAUAGAGCUAGCAGACUACAGCUCUAUCCUAUCCUCUGGGGGUCUGAAUGGAGCAGAUUACAGAUCUAUAUCCUAUCCUCUGGGGGUCUGAAUGGAGCAGAUUACAGAUCUAUAUCCUAUCCUCUGGGGGUCUGAAUGGAGCAGAUUACAGAUCUAUAUCCUAUCCUCUGGGGGUCUGCAUAGAGCUAGCAGACUACAGAUCUAUAUCCUAUCCUCUGGGGGUCUGAAUGGAGCAGAUUACAGAUCUAUAUCCUAUCCUCUGGGGGUCUGCAUAGAGC